CUAACAACAACUGCACAGUUUCUUGUAAACUCUAAUCUAAUUAAUGUGCACAGCAUGGUCUGAUAGCACCAUUAUCAUUACCUUUUUAAAAGUGAUUAAUACAGAUACAGUGACAGAUAUGUGACAUAUCCUGUUAAUUAGAAGAUUACAGGUUCACUUACCCCACAAGAAACAAUUUGCCGAAGACGAUAUAAAGCCCAAAAAAUUAAGUGAAGAACAGUCUGAUGAAGAUAUCAUGGUAAUGAUGGUGGUUAUAAUGAAAAUGUUGAUGAUGAAGAUGUUCCUACAGCAAAAAUAGUGGCACAAGGCCCAAAAUUUUGGGGGAAGGAGGCCAGUUGAUUAGAUCGACCCCAUCCUGGAGGGAUGAAAGGCAAAGUUGACUUUGCUGGAAUUUGAACUCAGAAUGUAAAGACAGAUGAAAUACUGCUAAGCAUUU